AAUCCUUUCAUUUCAAUCUAUUUCAAUCAUAUAAACUCUUUUCACAUUACUUUAAAUAAUCACCGAACUGCGGAUUUUUAUUUAAUAAUGUUUAUAGAAAUAUUAAUAUCCAUGGAUAUCCGCGGUCUAAUAGUAACGUUUUAGUAGAAAGACGGAAAACAAUUUGCAUUAUAGACUAAUUUGAGUUUCUGCAUCUCUGAACGUUAUCGUUCAACCUUGAACGUUAAUAGUAUAAUAAAAAAGAUAAAGAAAUCAUUAUAUAACGAGUUGAUAUCUGCACAAUAAGAAUUGCAUUAUGCACAGAUACAUAUUCGCUAAAUCUUAUUGUGGAUAACUAAAAACCUAUAUACAUAUGAAAGCAUAUGUAUACGUAUACAUACAUGACGAUAUAUCGCGAUGAAAUUAAUACGUCUAAAUCUGUAUAACUUUAUUUCAACGUAAAUGACAAUGUUAACAGACAACGUAAUAUCGCAUCACGAGCAAAUAUAUGAAUGGAAAGUAGAAUAUUAAUAAGAAAAUAAAUAGGUAUAUAUCUCUAAAGAAGCUAUAAACGAUAUCUUAAGCACGGGAAUCAAUAAUCUAUCGAUUAUAUACGCAUCAGUUAAGUAUUAUCAGUUGAGCAUUAAACGAUGAACAUCUACAUACAUAAACAAUUAAACGUUAAAUAUGGAAGAAGUAAUAAAGUAGGUUAGGUAACGACCAUACCGCCUGAAACUAUAUACUAGAAAGGUUAGAUUUUAAUUUAUAAAAAAUACUUCGAGAACUUCCUUCGCAGACUAUCUCGCUAUUAUUUUCAGCCGCUUACAUUUCACGGAAAACGGUUUUUCAAUCAAAGAAAGAUCUUUAAUCGUGAAUCUUCGAAAAUUCAAUUUCUUCAAAUAUCCUGACAGAAGUCUACCGAUCAAUGUAGUUGGUAAAAUUUUGGAAUGACAGCCAACCGGAAAUUCAGCAGAAGACAUACUCACCGAUUGAAAGUGGAGAGUGGUCGUGAUCGUUGGUAAUGGUCGCUCACAGAAUUUCGUUGACAAAAUGCAGUUCUUAUCAUCGAGAGCGAUAGUAAGGAUGACGUAGAAAGUUCAAUCUCAAACAGGCAGUGUGACUAGCAUGAUACCCGGGAGAUUUCGUUUUCACCGAGGAUCUGAAGAGAUAAAAGAGAACUACGGACCACGGGUGGAACCGUCGUUCACUUACGUCACGAGUUACGCACCAAUCGCAAUGGCCUGUAUCAAUGAAAGAAAGAGAGGGAGAUAUUUAUGAGCGACGAUGGUCUUCGUUUAAAUGUUUAAAUAGUAUAAAUUAAAGCAAUUAUUGAUAAAUAUACUUGUCAAUCGAUUGAAAUGUAUUUGUACUAGAUACUUAAUUUGGACUAUAACUUGAAUAGGAAUGAAUUUCAUUAUUUGACGUAUAAUUAAAUGUACAGGCUGUUUCAGUAUUGAUGGUACAGACAAAGUGGGGUUAUUCUUUAUAAAAGAAUAAGAACAAAAUAUAUAGAAUAAAGUACAUAGAAUGAAAUUUUUUUUCAUUUAAGGCUUCGUUUUCGAGAAAUUUAAGAUUGAAUAUUUAUCAAGUAUACUUGAACUUUGUUCAUUUCGAACUGAAUUGAAUCGAAUAAUGGAUGACAAAUUAUUGUACCGGUAAAAGUAUGUAAAAAAUAUAACGUAAAAUUUUGUCAUAGGACGUUCCAUUUUUGAGAAAAUAAAAAUUGAAAAUCAAUCGAGCGUCCGUGUAUCGAGCUAUUUUCUUGAAAACAAGGCCUUAAACGGGAAAAUUUUAUUCAACAUUUUUCACUUAAUUUCGCAUAUAAGAUAACCUUCUGCUGAUUGUUUAGUUCAAUUACCAGUUGGUACUGGUAGUCAAAUUCAUAUAUACCAUUUUUAAAUUUGAUUAAAUUUGAUUUUCUCAAGGAUGGAAAACCUUUACUCGAUAUUCUCGACUUAUUUUUCCAUGUAGAAUCAUCUCCACUUCGUUUGAACCAUCUGGGUAUCAUCAAUACCCUGUAAUACGUUUAAUACGUUUGAGUAUUGUUGAAUUACAAGCAACGUAGUGUUUUUAACACUGUAUUAGUACGUUAUACAAAAGUGAAUUUUAACAAAAAAUUUGGCAACGGUCGUAUCAGAUUUAUUUACCUCCUUUACAUUACAUUCGAAAUUUGAAUUUUAAAGAAUAUUGUGAGUACCGAAGUUAUAUAGUCUUGAAAUAUUGUGAAUCAAUGAUGGUUAAUGAUAAGAAAUAUUGUAAUUAAUGAAUAAUAAACAUUUUUGUAUUUAA